AUUGAACGCUGGCGGCAUGCUUUACACAUGCAAGUCGAACGGUAACAGGCCGCAAGGUGCUGACGAGUGGCGAACGGGUGAGUAAUGCAUCGGAACGUGCCCAGUCGUGGGGGAUAACGCAGCGAAAGCUGUGCUAAUACCGCAUACGGUCUAUGGAUGAAAGCGGGGGACCGUAGGCCUCGCGCGAUUGGAGCGGCCGAUGUCAGAUUAGGUAGUUGGUGGGGUAAAGGCUCACCAAGCCAACGAUCUGUAGCUGGUCUGAGAGGACGACCCGCGACACUGGGACUUGGACACGGCCCAGACUCCUACGGGAGGCAGCAGUGGGGAAUUUUGGACAAUGGGCGCAAGCCUGAUCCAGCAAUGCCGCGUGCAGGAAGAAGGCCUUCGGGUUGUAAACUGCUUUUGUACGGAACGAAACGGUCUGGGUUAAUACCCUGGGCUAAUGACGGUACCGUAAGAAUAAGCACCGGCUAACUACGUGCCAGCCGCCGCCGUAAUAC
rnacentral:rRNA from 1 species